ACUGAUCAUUUGCAUCAUAAUUAAUAUCUAAUGCAUAUGACUUUUUCAUAGCAUGCUUGUUCAUAUAGGAUGUCAAAUUCUAGUUCUUGUUCAGCCCCAAAUUUAACAUUUUAUAUAAAGCAUUUCCCAACAUGUUAGUUCCUUAUAGCAUGCCUAUCUGAAAGGGCCUCUUUCUGUUUGAUCAAUUAUUUUCAUUUUCUUUAAUCAAUUUCUAUCAGGUCAAUGAUGACCAUAAUGUUAUAAGAGAUUCUAGUGGCCAUACCAUUGAGGCACAGUAUGUGGAGAUGGAUAAUGCUACUAUUAACUUAAGAAACUUCUACACUAUGGCCUACCUGGGAGUGUCAGCCAAAGAAAUCCCAAAAUAUUGGCUCUUAUUUCAAGUAUCUGUGCCACCACUUGGAUGGAGCACCUACUUUAUUUCUAAAGCUGGGGGACAAGAAGCAAGUAAUGGGCACAUGUCAGUUACGAAUACUUCACAAAAUGAGACAUUGGAGGUUGGACCUUGGAAUUUGAAGAUGUCCUUUUCAUCAACAUCUGGACAAUUGAAACGUAUGACGAAUUAUAGAACAGGGGUGAAAGAUUUGGAUGUGGAACUUGAAAGUACUAAGCAGAAAAGUAAAUAAAACUUGCAACAAGUCAUCUUAAUUGAAAGGGAAAGAGUUACUCAAAUGCAGUGGGAUAUGGAAGAACUUCGUAGGAAGCAUUUGGAGAUGGAGUCGAAGCUCAAGUUCGAACACGAUGAAAAGAUUCAUUUGGAGUUGGCAAAAGUGUCUGCCAUUCAUGAGGAGUUAUUGCUGCAAGAAUUGGAUGUUGCAAAAGAACAACUUAAGAACCUGCAAAAACAUCAAGAAGAGCUGGAAAUGAAAUCAAAAGUGGAUAUUAAACUUCUUAUCAAAGAAGUUAAACAUGCUAGAUUGGAAAGUUUUAGGAGAGGCUUGAGCAAAGUGAAGUAUUGUUUAUUUAGAAAUGUGAAUGUAGGAUGCAUUGUAUGAUUUGAUUGCUAUUUGUAAUAAAUGCAUCAUUUUUUUCCUGAUUGCA